CCACAGUCAGGGGGACACCUGCGGGCCCUCGCCUUGAGUUUUUUCAACUGACAUCCCACUCUGUUGCCGCUGUGACACGCCUCCUCCUCAGCCUGUAUACCUUAUUGUUGGAAUACUCUGGCUUUACAUUUUGGUAACUGUCUGGCAAAUAAGAGAGAGGAGAGAGAAAAAUGUGUCUGGGACGCUACUUGGUCCCCUUGUGUUAACCAGUCAAGGAACUUCCAAUGAAACCUCCUUGCCUGCCAAUCACUUUGCAUAUACACUGCAUACUAAUAAAAGUCUUCGGUGCUCAAGUUUGUUGGAAGUAAACAAGAAAUACUAACACCGCUGGCAACAUAUCUUAAACCCUGCCAAGUAUUUUGUGCAUACACUGCAUAGUGAAGUAAGUGGGUGCCUUAUUCUGGUGUGAGUUAACAAGAAAUGCAAACACCACUCGCAGCACCUUUAAACCCUUGUGCCCCUGGUUUAGCCUUGCAGAUGGAGGAGCUUGGCCCUCUUCAUUAGCCCCGGAGAGCACUUCUGAUUCCUCCACUGUCUCAUUAAAGCUGCCGUUGGCCCGCCAGGCAGUGUGAUUGCAUUCACACCGGCUCCUUUGUCUGCGUUCACGCCCCGCGCUCGUUCUUUCAGUGCUGUUGCAUCAGUGCCCUUUUGUGUGUCUCCACAGCAGUCCUGAUUACCAUCAUCUGUAGACUGCUGCUUCGCACGGCACUUUUUUGUUCCUUGCUCCGGUUUGCAUCAGUAAACAGCGGCCACCCGUCGAGUCCACGUUCAGUUUGAAUCCGUCAUUGGUAAUUUCAUGGAAACCGGCGAAGGCAACAGGCUUUUAUAGAGUUUUAUAACAGCCACACUGUUUGCCCUUCAACAGUUGCUAAGGACUAGAGAAGCGUUUCUGACUUCCCAACUAAGCUUGAGUUAUUCCUCUACACCAAGACUUUACCCCAUGUUGUUUGUUUUCUUUUGCUUUCACUGGUUUGAACAGUGUGUUGUUAUGUGCAGAUUAAGUGAACGGCAUUAUCCAGAAUGCACUAGGCAUACGGGCUGUAGACGUUAUGGAUACAUGUUGAAAGUCGCUCCAGUAAAGUUUGAGCAAAACCCACGCUUACCGUGUGAGAGUAGUAUUUUAAAAUGCACUGCAUGGCAUAACAAACAGAAGCAGAGGUCUGGUCACUCAUCUCCCGGCCUGUAGCCACCCUACUCAGCCACUCUUGGCAGGUUGGGAAAGGUGUGACUUUGCCUCUGCCUCCCUCUCCCUUCCCUCUCUUUGCACAGCCUGCUUGGGUAUUCAGUGGCGUCCUCCCUGAUUGAUGAGUCGGCCGGGGGAGCGGAAAUCUAUCCCCAGGCUGCAGGCGAGGGCCCGGUGAUGGAUGAUUCCUCGGAGGUCUGUGCCGGACUGAUGGGUCACACUGGCCAGGCCCUGCCCACCGGGCUUGUGAUGGAUAUGAGAACAUUCUUUAGGAGAGGUGGCAGCUCCGCCCAGUCAGAUGAGAGAGAGAAGCAGGAGAUUGACAGGGCUGAAGGAGCCGGUGUGAUGGAGGUUAGUGGUCUACAGGUCUAGAAGGAAAUGAGUGGAGUUUUUUUUAUUUUCUUCUACUGUGGUAGAAAUGUAUAGGCAUUUGUUGUCAGGCCUAGGCUACUCCAAGGGUUAGCCUAAACUAGAUCAUUACAUGAUAUUUGUAUGCCAAGUCAUAAAAUUGGCUUCUGGAUUUCGAUCAGUUAAUGUUUCAAUGUUUGAACUUAUCUUAAAGGGUCAUGCAGAAGGAGAGGCUGAGGCAGAGCGUCAGAGAGAGGAAGAGACAGACCAAGCAGGUGCAUAUUUGUGCUGUCAAAUUUCACUCUGACCCUGUCAUUCUGUGUCUUGGUGCGGCAAAGCGGAACAAGGGCUCUGGAGACUGACUGAAAGCCCCUGGAUACAGCCUUUGCCUGUUAGUUGCCUAAUAAGCAAUGACUCUUAAAACCAGUUGGUUCAGUCAUCCGUGGCGCAUAAGUGAAGGCAUCUCGUGAUUUGUGACGGGUUGGGUGAUGUUUUCUUUUCAAAAUGGUCUUGUGCUAUAUCUGUUCAUCUAGCAUUUCCCACAACCUUUCCUCUUCUCUUGAAACAUCAAUGCAACAUUUUUCUGCUAAAGUUUUUUUGUGGGUUUGUUUGUGUGUAUGUGUGUGUGUGUGUGUGUGUGUGUGUAUGUGUUUGGGUGUGCUGUGUGUGUCUUUGUGUACGUGUGAGACUAUGAAAAGCUUCUCAUGGAAACGCUGCAUACAAAUGAACGUUUGGAUAUAUUUCUGUGCCUGUGUUUGAGUAGUGAGCAGCUGACGCUUUCGGGGAGGUGUUGCAGUUUCUGCGUGGAUGCUGCUGAAAGUGUUAGCUGAGUCCACGCCCCCCACACUUCUACCCUGCCACAACAGCAUACACUCAGCACCUCUUCACACUCUUAACCAGCCAAUGCACACGUGACACUCCGGAAAGAGCACACCACCCAUGGUGCAAAGCAGACACACCCUUAAUAAUGUUCUGUGUAAAGUGUGUGUGUGUGUGUGUGUAAGUGUGUAAGGCAAAUCAGUCACGCCCUGAGAUGCGUACAGUGUCUGUGUGUGAAGUGAUGUGAAAUUAAUAUAAUUUGUGUUUUUAUUACCAUUGUGCAGAUGGAUCACGGACCAGCAGUGCUUUCGUGUAGACUUUGGUGUGAAAACAUCCCCUCCACGAUGACUUGAGCCCCACUGGGGAUGAAGACUGGGCCCCUUCCAGCGAGCCAGUUAAAAGCUGACGGUUCAUUUUAUAAACACAUAAUGGAUGUCUCUCCAUUGACCCACUGCACUAUUUAUGAAGCCCAGGCAAUCCCCAACUCAAUUUUCUCAAUGCAGCAAAUAUGCAAAUGAAAGUCUGACAGAAGUUAUUGUAUGCGUCCACCAUUCUGUGCGGUACUUCAGCGCAGUAGCUCCUGUCUGCCAGCAAGUCAGAGUGAAGAUGAAUGAACAUGGAUUAAAUGUCAGCACACAGAAGACAGACCCUCGACCAGGGCAGUGGUAUGCAUCAUCACCUGCCUUAAUCUCCAUGGUGCAGAGUAGAGAGGCCGCUCGCCGCCCAGAUUAACGCAGAGAGAAAUACUCUGAGAUGUCUGAGGCACUAAUCGUGGUUAGCCUCAGGAUCAGUUCUCUUUUUUUUUGUUUUAAAGGAGAUUUUAAUAGCGCUCUUCUCUUGUCCUGGAAACUGCUGCCCUGUGAGCGAGCCUUUGUCCCAGCAUCUGGCUAGUGUUCAGUGCUCGAGCCAAAACAGAUGUCGGGAGGUCGUUCAGAGAUGCACUCAUUUUGUCGUUUGUUAACUGAUUUUGUUUAUGCUGUAUUAUGUUUGUGCUUCCAUGUACAAAUGUUAGAGGAAAUAAAUAAUGAUGACGGUCAAACACGCACACACAUAUACGUGCAAGCAUUCAAAAUGGCUUAGUUUGUUAUUUCUGCCUGUGACAGAUGGAAAUUCUGCUCCUGACAAAAGAUGAACUGACAUUCCAGCAUUACAAUAAUUUCCUCCAUGCACAGCCAGAAGUGUAGAACAAAUCAGAACAAAUCUGUUUGUUUGUCUCCUGCUCCAUUGAAGGAACAUCCCUUUUUCCCUGCUCUUCCUUUUACAUGCCCGGAGGUGAGCCGCGUGUCCUUUGGGACGAUGACCAAUCAAACGAAUCUCCCUGGUGAGGAGAUGAAACAUAAAGGAUUUGCUCUGAGGGCUGAAGUCAAGCCUGGCUUCAUGUGUCUGCAGGCUAGCGGCUGUCUCAGGAGGCACCACUCUCACUAGACUCACUUCUUGAUCUUUCUGAGCUCUUCACUGGCUCAGAUGUCCCCCACCCCCAAACCCCAACUCCCUCUGGUGCGAUAUGACUUCCCUCUUUGGUCGCCAUUGGCAAACCCUUGUAGAUCAUAACAAAGGCUUCGCCAUGAGGCCCAAGCCCCACUUCAUUUGAAUUUACAUCAUGUGCAGCCUAUAUGUUUGGAUAAAGUUUAUCUGAAUUUAAGUUACCGUGAGGAGGCCUCCAGCUACCCUCCAUUUGCACACCCCUAGACGGUGUGCUUAGCUCACUGCAGUAGCUUCGGGCCAUUGGUUCCUAAUGGGAGCCGACUGCAAUAUAACAUAUUUAUUCUUAUUUAUUCAUCUGGCAGAUGCUUUCAUCCAAAGCAACUUGCAGUGACUUGACUCGCAUAGUAAAAAUGCAUGUCUGCGUCUGCAUGUGUGCUCAUUGGGAAGGAAACCUGUGGUAUUUUUGUUGUUAGCACGUUGGCUUAGCGGUUAAGCUAGAGGAGCUAUGGGACCAUGUUACGCCUCCAUUCCAUCAGUUCCAGUUUUCCACUAGCAUGUUCACUCCUGUCCUUGGAUGAGUGCAGAGAUGUGUGCUUGGUGUGCUUGUUGCCCAUGGUCACAUGCGCCAUGAAUGCGAGAAGAUCAUCAGCAGGCUUCCGGUGUCAGGAGCGACUGCUGCUCUCCCUGUGGAAAUAAUGCAGGGCUCUCAAGUGUCACGCAUUGAGCGUGACAGUCACUCAUUUCGGUCUUUAAUCACGCACUCCCGCCACACAUCGUAUUUCUCACGCUGAAAAAAAAACUCUAGGCUAUUUAAUGUGCCGCAGCGCGCUAACAUGACCUGGCCGCGCUGCCCUCACCAUGGAGGAAUCAAGCACGUCUCCCCGAAUCCCCUGGAGUUCUGCCGUGAGGUGCCAAUUAUCAGCCAAUCAAAAAAAAAAAAAAUAGCCAAUCAGAAAAAAAGUGUCUUUUGUAUCUGUUGUAUCUGGGUAAGAUUUAAUCCAGCAACCAAUGAAAAUAAAGCAUCCUGGAAUUGCGCGCGACUGAUCUUCCGAAAGUUUCGUUAACCUGAGGAAACCACU
ensembl:lncRNA